AUUGAACGCUGGCGGCAGGCCUAACACAUGCAAGUCGAGCGGAUGAAGGGAGCUUGCUCCUGGAUUCAGCGGCGGACGGGUGAGUAAUGCCUAGGAAUCUGCCUCGUAGUGGGGGAUAACGUCCGGAAACGGGCGCUAGUACCGCAUACGUCCUGAGGGAGAAAGUGGGGGAUCUUCGGACCUCACGCUAUCAGAUGAGCCUAGGUCGGAUUAGCUAGUUGGUGGGGUAAAGGCCUACCAAGGCGACGAUCCGUAACUGGUCUGAGAGGAUGAUCAGUCACACUGGAACUGAGACACGGUCCAGACUCCUACGGGAGGCAGCAGUGGGGAAUAUUGGACAAUGGGCGAAAGCCUGAUCCAGCCAUGCCGCGUGUGUGAAGAAGGUCUUCGGAUUGUAAAGCACUUUAAGUUGGGAGGAAGGGCAGUAAGUUAAUACCUUGCUGUUUUGACGUUACCAACAGAAUAAGCACCGGCUAACUUCGUG
rnacentral:rRNA from 1 species